GUGCCAGCAGCCGCGGUAAUACAGAGGGUGCGAGCGUUGUCCGGAAUCACUGGGCGUAAAGGGCGCGUAGGCGGCCUGGUAAGUAGGGGGUGAAAUCUUGCGGCUCAACUGCAAGGCUGCCUCCUAAACUGCCGGGCUGGAGCACGGUAGAGGCAGAUGGAAUUCCCGGUGUAGCGGUGGAAUGCGUAGAGAUCGGGAAGAACAUCGGUGGCGAAGGCGGUCUGCUGGGCCGUUGCUGACGCUGAGGCGCGACAGCGUGGGGAGCAAACAGGAUUAGAUACCCGUGUAGUCC
rnacentral:rRNA from 1 species